rnacentral:rRNA from 1 species
UACGUAGGGUGCAAGCGUUGUUCGGAAUUACUGGGCGUAAAGGGAGCGUAGGCGGGAUUGUAAGUUAGGAGUUUAAUGUGUGGGCUCAACCCACAAUCUGCUCUUAAUACUGCAAUUCUUGAGUAUGGGAGAGGGUGAUGGAAUUCCAGGUGUAGCGGUGGAAUGCGUAGAUAUCUGGAAGAACACCAGUAGCGAAGGCGAUCGCCUGGCCCAAUACUGACGCUGAGGCUCGAAAGCUAGGGGAG